rnacentral:rRNA from 1 species
UACGGGGGGGGCAAGCGUUGUUCGGAAUUACUGGGCGUAAAGGGUUCGUAGGUGGCCAACUCAGUCAGACGUGAAAUCCCUCAGCUCAACUGGGGAACUGCGUCUGAUACUAGAUGGCUCGAGUGCAGGAGAGGAACGCGGAAUUCCAGGUGUAGCGGUGAAAUGCGCAGAUAUCAGGAAGAACACCCGUGGCGAAGGCGGCUCUCUGGGACGGUACUGACGCUGAGACGCGAAAGCGUGGGGAGCGAACAGG